rnacentral:rRNA from 1 species
GAACGCUGGCGGCGUGCCUAAUACAUGCAAGUCGAACGAACCGCGACUGAGUGCUUGCACUUGGUCAAGGUGAGUGGCGAACGGGUGAGUAACACGUGGGUAACCUACCUCAUAGUGGGGGAUAACAGUCGGAAACGACUGCUAAUACCGCAUAGGACAUGGGAUCACAUGAUUCCGUGAGGAAAGGUGGCGCAAGCUAUCGCUAAGAGAUGGACCCGCGGUGCAUUAGCUAGUUGGUAGGGUAACGGCCUACCAAGGCAAUGAUGCAUAGCCGACCUGAGAGGGUGAUCGGCCACAUUGGGACUGAGACACGGCCCAAACUCCUACGGGAGGCAGCAGUAGGGAAUCUUCCGCAAUGGACGCAAGUCUGACGGAGCAACGCCGCGUGAGUGAGGAAGGUCUUCGGAUCGUAAAGCUCUGUUGUUAGAGAAGAACAGCGCAUAGAGUAACUGUUAUGCGUGUGACGGUAUCUAACCAGAAAGCCACGGCUAACUACGUGCCAGCAGCCGCGGUAAUACGUAGGUGGCGAGCGUUGUCCGGAUUUAUUGGGCGUAAAGGGAGUGUAGGCGGUCUUUUAAGUCUGAUGUGAAAGCCCACGGCUCAACCGUGGAGGGUCAUUGGAAACUGGGAGACUUGAGUGCAGAAGAGGAGAGCGGAAUUCCAUGUGUAGCGGUGAAAUGCGUAGAUAUAUGGAGGAACACCAGUGGCGAAGGCGGCUCUCUGGUCUGUAACUGACGCUGAGGCUCGAAAGCGUGGGGAGCAAACAGGAUUAGAUACCCUGGUAGUCCACGCCGUAAACGAUGAGUGCUAAGUGUUGGAGGGGUUCCACCCUUCAGUGCUGGAGUUAACGCAAUAAGCACUCCGCCUGGGGAGUAC